GUUCGCGUGGAGUAGUGGUUAUCUCGCCAGAUCCACAUGACCAGCUGAGGCAUCUACAGCUCGGCUGAGUUGGGGACUCUGGACGUCGUCGGUUCGAACCCGGCCGCGAACA